UUUGAUUCGACUCUCCCCCUUUUUCUACACUCCUUUCUUUUUCUGUUCUUUACCAAUAAACCAAUACUUGUGGCAUAACAAAUUACAGAUCAAAAGGUCAUGGAAACCAUAUUCUGUAUUCUAUUUUUCAACCACCCAAGCGGUAAGUGCAACUAGGCCAAAGAGAAAAUUCCUACAUAGAUUCGCAAAUUUGAAGCACCAAAAUGGUAAAUAAACAUAAUAAACGAGGUUAAACUAUAUUUAAUU
rnacentral:misc_RNA from 1 species